UUGUUGUAGUAAACUGCAUGGGAAGAAAAGGGAGAAAAAAGAUGGUGUUGCAUUCACUAAAGAAGUCGUUUUGCUUCCUGAUGAGAGAUCCAAUUCGGUACCUAGGUGAGGAAAGAAGGCAUGGCUUUUCAAAAGUGGUCAUGUGAAAUCUGCCGUCGAGUUUAGAGUAGCCUUUCAACCCCUUUUGGACAACUGCCGGGUUGAGUUUUUAUUUGGAUGCCACAAGAAGCUGGUAACACCGUCAUUUACAGCUAGCCAAACAAUGAGUGGGUACAUGCUGAAAAUAAUAUUCCACCAAAGGACUGUGUAUUUAUGACCAGACAAAACCCUUCUGACCUCUGAAGAUGCUGGAGAAGAGGAAGCAAUUAAGGAACAGGUGUAUAUAUCUGAUGAAGAUGAUGAUCUGCAAGACGCCAUAAACAGAUCUCUUCUAGAAUCAAACGCAUUUCUAGCUGAUGCACACAUCUAUGGAAGCCAUUUUGCAUUCACUUUCUAAAAGCUUGAACCGGGAGGAAGUUCGCUUCAAUAUAAUGCGUAAAAACGUUUGGGAUGGAACCAAGCGGGCAAUGGCCAGAGCUAACUUCUCCCCUUAAAAAAGAAUUGAUGUCAAAUUUACAGAUGACCUUGAUGUUUCUGAAGGAGCAAUUGGUCUAGGAGGGCCUAAACGAGAAUUUUUCCGACGUGUUCUUUUGUAUUUAAGAGAAGAAAGUGGUAUUUCUGAGGGGCCCGAUGAAGCAAAGAUUUUAAAUUGCAACACUGAAGCUUUAAAGGCAAGUACCUGUAUGUACUUCCAUACAGGUCAAAUUUUGGCAAUGAUAGUAGUUCAUGGAGGACCACCACCUUGCUUCCUUUCACUAGUCUUGUAUGAAGCUUUAAUCAGGGGUGAGAGAGUUAACAUUGAUCAUGUUUUUGACCAAGAAGUACAUGGACAACUGAAAGCAAUAAAUGAUGCCACCACAGAUGAAGACCUGUCUAAUUCUGUUGAGUUGGCUGCAAGCAUUCAGAGUCUCUCAGGCUGCUUCAAAAAAGUUGACCACCACAACAAGGGAGAUGUAGUUUUGCAUGUUGCUCAUUGGUAUGUUUUCCAGCGAACAAGAAGCCAUUUUGAAAGAUGUCUCCACAUAUUACAGGUGCCUUUGUGACAGUUUCUACCAUUAUCAGGAAUGGAAAGAUGGAGUACAUAAUUUUGAUGACGACAUCAUUAUGAGCAUCCAUGUCUUUUUUUGCAUAAUUCAAUUCAGAAUCACACAGCUGUUGAAAAGGUCAUAAGCAGCCUUGAGAAAACAAAUGAAAUGCCCUACCCAAGUCAUAAUGCCAUAUUGCAUGCAUACGUACAUUUUGAGGCAGUGACAUCCCAUGAGUAUAAUUUCUCUUGUGUGCACUGUGGGCAUCAUCCUCCUAUUGUUAACAUGGACUUGCACAUAAAGGGUGUCUUUAAAAUGGCUGGUAAGGAUUUCAUGAAUACAUGCAUACCUGCUUGAGCCCGUUCUUUGCAGAGGACAGCAGGACAUUGGUCCCAGAGUGGACAUGGAAGAUUUUUCCGUGGAAAGAGAAAUUCUUGGCAGAGGCUUUCUGAAAUGUAAGCUCAUGUCUUUUUUUACUUGUCAUCAGUUGCAUGAAUGUAUGUUGAAAAGUCUUGUUUUUUUUUUCCCAUCUUUAUCCAGGCAACCGUCUGUUAAUAUGUAUAAUAAGUAUGUUAAUAUUUUACAUUGAAGAUAACCCACUUGAAGGUCUUUGUUUCUUUCAUAGUGUAUAUAAACACAGGAAAUUCCAGUUUCUGUAUUACAACUUGCCUGAAGAAGGGACCUGAGCUGCCUCAAAAGCUUGCAUACUGUGAUCCAUUUAGUUGGCCAAUAAAAGAUGUCAUUUUGCGUCACUUCUCAUCUCAUCUGACACAGAAAUACAACUCUUAAAGGCCUUAGAAUAUUUUAAAUGCAUUGUGUACUAUGUUUUUUAUAGUGUAUUGUAAGAA